rnacentral:rRNA from 1 species
UGCCAGCAGCCGCGGUAAUACGUAGGUGGCGAGCGGUUAUCCGGAUUUAUUGGGUUUAAAGGGUGCGUAGGCGGUUUAAUAAGUCAGUGGUGAAAGUAGGCAGCUCAACUGUCUGACUGCCAUUGAUACUGUUAGGCUAGAGUAUAGUAGAGGUAGGCGGAAUUUAGGGUGUAGCCGGUGAAAUGCUUAKAUACCCUAAAGAACACCGAUUGCUGUAGGCAGCUUACUGGACUAUAACUGACGCUGAGGCACGAAAGUAUGGGAAUCAAACAGGAUUAGAUACCCUGGURAGUCC